GAUGGUAAGUCUACGAUGGAUAACUGUGGUAAUUCCAGAGCUAAUACAUGUUCCAAACCCCAACUAACGAAGGGGUGCAUUUAUUAGAUCAAGGCCGAUCAGACUUUGUCUGUCUCAGGUUGACUCUGAAUAACUUUGCUAAUCGCACAGUCUUUGAACUGGCGAUGUAUCUUUCAAAUGUCUGCCUUAUCAACUGUUGAUGGUAGAUUAUGCGCCUACCAUGGUUGUAACGGGUAACGGAGAAUCAGGGUUUGAUUCCGGAGAGGGAGCCUGAGAAACAGCUACCACAUCCAAGGAAGGCAGCAGGCACGCAAAUUACCCACUCCCAGUUCGGGGAGGUAGUGACGAAAAAUAACGAGAAAGUGCUCUAUGAGUAUUUUCAUCGGAAUGAGUACAAUCUAAAUACUUUAACGAGUAUCUAUUGGAGGGCAAGUCUGGUGCCAGCAGCCGCGGUAAUUCCAGCUCCAAUAGCGUAUAUUAAAGUUGUUGCGGUUAAAAAGCUCGUAGUUGGAUCUGAGACUGUGGGCAACGGUCCCCUAUCGGGUUGUACUGUUCGUCCCGGUCUAAUCUGUUGGUUUGUGUGCGGUGCUCUUUACUGAGUGUCGUAUGCUGCCAGCUAUUUUACUUUGAAAAAAUUAGAGUGCUCAAAGCAGGCGCUUGCUCGAAUAUCGGUGCAUGGAAUAAUGGAAUAGGGCCUUGGCUCUAUUUUGUUGGUCUAUGAGUACGAGGCAAUGAUUAAGAGAAACAGUCGGGGGCAUUUGUAUUGCGACGUUAGAGGUGAAAUUCUUGGAUCGUCGCAAGACAAACAACUGCGAAAGCAUUUGCCAAGAAUGUUUUCAUUAAUCAAGAACGAAAGUUAGAGGUUAGAAGGCGAUCAGAUACCGCCCUAGUUCUAACCGUAAACGAUGCCAACUAGCGAUUCGCAGAAGUUAGUUAAACGACUCUGCGAGCAGCUUCCGGGAAACCAAAGUGUUUGGGUU
rnacentral:rRNA from 1 species